GACCAGCCAUUUACAGAAAGUGUACGGACACUCUCUGGCUGCUCCUCUUCUGUCUUUUCUGGGCUGGUUUGGAACUCCUUAAAUGGAAGCUGAUGCAGAAUAUUACCUAUACAUUUAGAAUACUACACAAAUGGAUGGUGAACUUUGUGAGCAGGAUAGGGGUUUUUACCUGCUGUGUAAUGCUUACUGCUUUGAUCAGUGGAGGGGAUGCCACAAAUUAAACCUCUCAAAUAAUGUUUAUAAGUGGCUAUGCUGUGGUGGCUGGUGCUGCAGAAAGACUCGUGCUUGGAUAUGACAGCUUUGGGAACAUAUGUGGUCGGAAGAACACUCCUGUAGAAGGGGCAAAUCUUUCUGGAUUAGACAUGACUAAUAAAAAGUAUGUGUUCUUUCUGAAUUCAUGCAGCCUGGAAAUACAAAGCCUCAAAAGCAGUUCACUUUCCUUGUGUGUGUCAAGUUGUCCACAACAGCAACUCAACUCUUUGGAAGAUCUACAGAGUUUUGCAAGGAAUAAUGGUUCUUUCCUUUGUGUUUACAACUUGAAUGUUUCCAGUUACACACUAAAUCCAAAAGCAGCUCAGCUGUGUCCCACACUGCCAGUUCCACCAAGUAAAUCCUUUCCAUUAUUUAAUCGCUGUGUUCCGCAAAAUCCUGAAUGCUAUUCCAAAUAUGCAUCUGUCCUAAUAAGUAUGGUUAAUGAAAUGGAUGUUUUUCAUCGGAUUCUGAGUGGAAUAUUGGCAGGAAGAGAUACUGUGAUAGGACUGAGUGUCCUUGCACUAGCCCUCUCUUUGAUACUGCUUUUAGCCUUCAGAUUCAUUCAGACUCUCUUCAUCCAUACUCUGAUUGCACUGGUUGUAUUCGGGUUGUUGUUUGGCUCAGGUGUUCUCUGGUGGCUCCAUUACGACUACAGGAAUGACCCCAGCACUGAACUGGAAACAGAAAAGGAAAAUGUAAAGUUCCUACUUGGAUAUGCCAUCUUAUCAACAAUUGUCACUGUUGUUCUGCUCUCCCUUAUAUUUGUACUAAGAAAGAGGCUUCCAUUCUCUGUACAGCUCUUUCGAAUUGUUGGCAAAAUCAUUGGCAGAAUUCCUUUCCUCCUGUUCCAGCCACUCUGGACUUUUCUGAUUCUCAUUGUGUUCUGGAUAUUUUGGGUUGCUGUACUGCUCAGCUUAGGAACUGCAGGUACUGCACAGUCCACUUCAGGAGGACAAGUAGAAUACAGAGCUCUGUCUGGAAUUUGCUACAUGGCAUGGUAUCAUUUCGUUGGCCUUAUCUGGACUAGUGAAUUCAUUCUUGCCUGUCAGCAAAUGGUGAUUGCUGGGGCAGUGGUUACUUGUUAUUUCAACAGAAAUAAAAAUAACCCACCACCUCACCCAGUCCUGUCUUCCAUAUCAGUUCUUUUCUGCUACCACCUAGGAACUGCUGUGAAAGGCUCAUUUCUAAUCACAAUACUGAGAAUACCAAGGAUUGUUCUCUUGUGCCUUUACAAUAUCCUAAACCAAAAGAGGAAUGCAAAGCACCAGUUCAACUGCUGUUUCUGCUGGGUUUGCAUCCAGAAGAGUUGCUUAAGAUACUUUAACCAGCAUGCAUACACAACUACAGCCAUAAAUGGGACAGAUUUUUGUACAUCAGCAAAGGAUGCUGUCAGUAUUUUGGCAAGGAAUUCUGAUAAACUUGCAUCCAUUAGCUGCUUUGGAGAUUUUCUCCUAUUUUUAGGAAAGGUGUUUGUUGUAUGCUUCACUGUUUUUGGAGGAUUGAUGGCAUUUAACUACCACCGGGACUUGCAAGCUUGGGUAGUUCCUCUGUUGCUGGUUGGAUUUUUUGCCUACCUGAUGUCUCACAGCUUUCUGUCUGUGUUUGAAGUGACAGCAGAUGCCAUGUUCCUUUGCUUUGCUAUUGAUAUGGAAACAAAUGAUGGAACUGGAGAGAAGCCAUACUUUGUGGAUCAGGAGCUGCUGCCAUGCCCUAGAGCUGUGGGUGAAGAGAGGAUUUCCCACAGGGACAAGGAGUCUUCCAAGCAGGACAGGCUCUAUACCCUUCUAUGGAAAAACUGUGGGCAGCACAUCCAAACUCCUCCUCAUUGUAUGAUCAAGAUUGCAUUCAUCACUUUUGCUGCCUCUGCAGUCCCUCACAGUAUCACUCAGUGUCAUCCAGCCAGGAACCAGCUACAGUUUCUUAGCCCUGGGCUAAUUAUCUUCCUUCACCAGGUAUUUUUAUUACCAUAAUGAUUUCCUUUCACAAACGAUCUCACCCUGGUUUUUGCUUGUAGACCUUUGUGAGUCAGAGUAACAAGUUAACAGAAGGGCAAAAACACAGAAACACAAGACCAUUCCAGGAUAAUGAAGAUGGGACAGAGCUCCAGCCUAUGACUUAAAUGUGAAGUACACCAGGAGGUGUGGAAGCCGAGCAGCAACAGCAAAAAUGGUCAUAUCAGUAAAGUUUACCAAUAGCCCAGGACAAAGUAUUAGCUCCCUAAAUCUGUUGUAUCUUCUGCACUGGUAAAAUGACACACAAUCUGUUUGUAUGAAUAAAAUAUUUUGUGUGUCA